GACGCCUGCAGACAUUUGGGCUUUUCAAAAAUCGUUUUCUAAGUUUAUUUGCGUGUUUUUAUUGAACUAUUUCGCAUAUUAUGGUGCAUUGAGUGUCUAAUUGACUUUUUAUUGUGGUUUUUGACAGUUUCGUGGGAUAAAAUAUUUGUUAAGCAUCAAUUAGAAGUAUGAUUAAAUGACGUCACAAGAGAAGAUAUUACUUGAAAGAGCUUAUUCUUCAAACAAUUUUAGAAACAGUGAAUUCUGUUUUAUAGGAAGAUUAAUUGAUAUUUUAUAAAUUAUAUUAUAAA